UGCGUAGGGAGCAAGCGUUGUCCGGAAUUACUGGGCGUAAAGGGCGCGUAGGUGGGCGCUUAAGUCAGGUGUGAAAACUCCGGGCUCAACCUGGAGACUGCACUUGAAACUGGGUGUCUUGAGGGCAGGAGAGGAAAGUGGAAUUCCUAGUGUAGCGGUGAAAUGCGUAGAUAUUAGGAGGAACACCAGUGGCGAAGGCGACUUUCUGGACUGUACCUGACGCUGAGGCGCGAAAGCGUGGGUAGCGAACGGG
rnacentral:rRNA from 1 species